rnacentral:rRNA from 1 species
AUGAACGCUGGCGGCGUGCCUAAUACAUGCAAGUCGAGCGAACGGACGAGAAGCUUGCUUCUCUGAUGUUAGCGGCGGACGGGUGAGUAACACGUGGAUAACCUACCUAUAAGACUGGGAUAACUUCGGGAAACCGGAGCUAAUACCGGAUAAUAUUUUGAACCGCAUGGUUCAAAAGUGAAAGACGGUCUUGCUGUCACUUAUAGAUGGAUCCGCGCUGCAUUAGCUAGUUGGUAAGGUAACGGCUUACCAAGGCAACGAUGCAUAUCCGACCUGAGAGGGUGAUCGGCCACACUGGAACUGAGACACGGUCCAGGCUCCUACGGGAGGCAGCAGUAGGGAAUCUUCCGCAAUGGGCGAAAGCCUGACGGAGCAACGCCGCGUGAGUGAUGAAGGUCUUCGGAUCGUAAAACUCUGUUAUUAGGGAAGAACAUAUGUGUAAGUAACUGUGCACAUCUUGACGGUACCUAAUCAGAAAGCCACGGCUAACUACGUG